rnacentral:rRNA from 1 species
GGGGGCGUAAGAAUUUUUUUUUCUGCUCAGACGAACGCUAGCAGCGUGCUAGUACAUGCAAGUACGAGCGAACCGACGGGAGCUGAUGCAAUAGAUCAGCGGCGGACGGCGUGUGUAUCAUCGUGGGUAACGGCCUGUAAGACUGGGAUAACUCCGGGAAACCGGGGCUAAUACGGGAUAACUUGAUUGAACCGCAUGGUUCACUUAUAAAAGGUGUUGUUUAGCUACCACUUACAGAUGGACACGCGGCGCAUCAGCUAGUUGGUGAGGUAACGGCUCACCAAGGCGACGAUGCGUAGCCGACGUGAGAGGGUGAUCGGCCACACUGGGAGUGAGACACGCCCCAGACUCCUACGGGAGGCAGCAGUAGGGAAUCUUCCGCAACGGACGAAAGUCUGACGGAGCAACGCCGCGUGAGUGAUGAAGGUUUUCGGAUCGUAAAACUCUGUUUUUAGGGAAGAACAAGUACCGUUCGAACAGGGCGGUACCUUGACGGUACCUAACCAGAAAGCCACGGCAAAUUACGUGCCAGCAGCCGCGGUAAUACGUAGGUGCCAAGCGUUGUCCGGAAUUAUUGGGCGUAAAGCGCGCGCGGGCGGUUUCUUAAUUCUGAUGUGAAAGCCCCCGGCUCAACCGGGGAGGGUCAUUGGAAACUGGGGAACUUGAGUGCAGAAGAGGAGAGUGGAAUUCCACGUGUAGCGGUGAAAUGCGUAGAGAUGUGGAGGACCACCAGUGGCGAAGGCGACUUUUUGGUCUGUAACUGACGUUGAGGCGCGAAAGCGUGGGGACCGACCAGGAUUAGAUACCCUGGUAGUCCACGCCGUAACCGAUGAGUGCUAAGUGUUAGACGGUUCCGCCCUUUAGUGUUGCAGCAAACGCAUAAGCACUCCACGG